GAUGAAGAAGCAGCGAAAUGCGAUAAGUAAUGUGAAUUGCAGAAUUCAGUGAAUCAUCGAAUCUUUGAACGCACAUUGCGCCCGCCAGCACUCUGGCGGGCAUGCCUGUUCGAGCGUCAUUUCAACCAUCAAGCCCCCAGGGGCUUGUGCUGGGGCCCUGCGGCUGCCCGCAGGCCCUGAAAACCAGUGGCGGGCUCGCUAGUCACACCGAGCGCAGUAGCACAUCUCGCUCAGGGCGUGCGGCGGGCUCCUGCCGUGAAACCCCCCACUGUAACCCCAAAGGUUGACCUCGGAUCAGGUAGGAAUACCCGCUGAACUUAAGCAUAUCAAUAAGCGGAGGA
rnacentral:misc_RNA from 1 species